CGGCCGCCAUCCCGUCUGGGAAGUGAGGAGCGUCUCUGCCCGGCUGCCCAUCGUCUGAGAUGUGGGGAGCGCCUCUGCCCCGCCGCCCCGUCUGGGAUGUGAGGAGUGCUUCUGCCCGGCCGCGACCCCGUCUGGGAGGUGAGGAGCGUCUCUGCCCGGCCGCCCAGUCUGAGAAGUGAGGAGACCCUCUGCCUGGCAACCGCCCCAUAUGAGAGGUUCACACUUAAACCCCCAGCUGUUUCCUGUGGGGCCCCAGAUCAUUUGACCCUAAGAACAACAGAGCCCAUGGCCUGCUUGUCAUUUCCCAGGAUGGAAUUUGCAACGUGUUUUCUCAACUCACCCACGUCAGACUUGAGUGAAAUGAACUCUGAGCAUGUCUGCUUCUCCCAGCAAACUUCAGCUAAUCCAAGGACAGUCAUUAACUUGUUAUUCUAAGUAAUCCUCUGUUGAAAGCUGUGAGCCGCCUGGGGUGGACGAGGGCAGGGUUUUCAAGCACAAAAAUAUUGGACCUGCGGCUCCCAUGAGGACAGACAGCCUCCCCAGAGGAGGGGAGGGAUUCGACAGCCUC
rnacentral:lncRNA from 10 species